GGCUCGGUAGCUCAGUUGGUAGAGCAAUGGUUUGAAGCUCCAUGUGUCGGCGGUUCGAUUCCGUCUCGCGCCA
rnacentral:tRNA from 1 species